CAGCAGCCGCGGUAAUACGUAGGUGGCAAGCGUUGUCCGGAAUUAUUGGGCGUAAAGGGCUCGCAGGCGGUUUCUUAAGUCUGAUGUGAAAGCCCCCGGCUCAACCGGGGAGGGUCAUUGGAAACUGGGAAACUUGAGUGCAGAUGAGGAGAGUGGAAUUCCACGUGUAGCGGUGAAAUGCGUAGAGAUGUGGAGGAACACCAGUGGCGAAGGCGACUCUCUGGUCUGUAACUGACGCUGAGGAGCGAAAGCGUGGGGAGCGAACAGGAUUAGAUACCCCGGUAGUCCCUGUCUCUUAUAC
rnacentral:rRNA from 1 species